UACAUAGGGGGCGAGCGUUAUCCGGAGUUAUUGGGCGUAAAGGGUACGUAGGCGGGCUUGCAAGUCUGAUUUGAAAGCACAUGGCUUAACCAUGUGAGGUAAUUAGAAACUACGAGUCUAGAGAGUGGUAGAGGUAAAUGGAAUUCCAAGUGGAGCGGUGAAAUGCGUAGAGAUUUGGAGGAACACCAGUGGCGAAGGCGGUUUACUGGGCCACAUCUGACGCUGAUGUACGAAAGCGUGGGGAGCAAACAGGAUUAGAUACCCCCGUAGU
rnacentral:rRNA from 1 species